rnacentral:rRNA from 1 species
UACAGAGGUCCCAAGCGUUGUUCGGAUUCACUGGGCGUAAAGGGUGCGUAGGCGGUCGGGUAAGUCUGACGUGAAAUCUCCAAGCCUAACUUGGAAACUGCGUUGGAUACUAUCCGGCUCGAGGAAUGGAGGGGAGACUGGAAUACUUGGUGUAGCAGCGAAAUGCGUAGAUAUCAAGUGGAACACCAGUGGCGAAGGCGAGUCUCUGGACAUUUCCUGACGCUGAGGCACGAAAGCCAGGGGAGCAAACGGG